CAGCAGCCGCGGUAAUACCGGCGGCCCGAGUGGCGGUCACUAUUAUUGGGCUUAAAGCGUCCGUAGCCGGGUUGGGAAGUCCUCCGGGAAAUCUGGCCGCUUAACGGUCAGAAUGCCGGAGGAUACUCCCAGCCUAGGGAGCGGGAGAGGCCGAGGGUAUUCCCGGAGUAGGGGUGAAAUCCUAUAAUCCCGGGAGGACCACCUGUGGCGAAGGCGCUCGGCUGGAACGCGUCCGACGGUGAGGGACGAAGGCCAGGGGAGCAAACCGGAUUAGAUACCCGGGUAGUCCUGGCUGUAAACGAUGCGGACUUUGUGUCGGACAAGCUAUGAGCUUGUCCGGUGCCGGAGGGAAACCGUUAAGUCCGCCGCCUGGGGAGUACGGCCGCAAGGCUGAAACUUAAAGGAAUUGGCGGG
rnacentral:rRNA from 1 species